rnacentral:rRNA from 1 species
UUUCCUGCACUACCGAAAUACUUAAAAGAUGCAAGGGACACAGGAGUGGAAGGAAAGCGAGGAAGAGGAAAGACUCGUAUCGAAAGAUAUAGUGAAAAUUAAAGUAACGAAUUUCCAAGAAGCACACUGGCGAGAAAAGCUUGUAGAUAUUGUAUAGAGGUACCCGUACCGCAAACCGACACAGGUAGAUGAGGAGAGGAUCCUAAGAUGAGCGAGAGAAGCAUUGUUAAGGAACUCGGCAAACCAACCCCGUAACUUAGGGAGAAGGGGUGCCUAUGUAAAAAUAGGCCGCAGAGAAGAGGCCCAAGCAACUGUUUAACAAAAACACAGGUUUCUGCUAAAUCGAAAGAUGAAGUAUAGGAGCUGACGCCUGCCCAGUGCUGGAAGGUUAAGGGAAAAUGUAAGUACAGAAGUAUGAAGCAUAGAACCAAAGCCCCAGUGAACGGCGGCCGUAACUAUAACGGUCCUAAGGUAGCGAAAUUCCUUGUCAGGUAAGUUCUGACCCGCACGAAAGGCGUAAUGAUUUGGGCGCUGUCUCGACAAUGUACUCGGCGAAAUUGUAGUACUAGUGAAGAUGCUAGUUACCUGCGACAAGACAGAAAGACCCCAUGGAGCUUUACUGUAGCUUGAUACUGGGUUUCGAUAAUUUAUGUACAGGAUAGGUGGGAUGCAAAGAAGCAAGUGCGCCAGCAUUUGUGGAGCAGACGUUGGGAUACCACCCUUAAGUUAUUGGAAUUCUAACCUGUAGUCAUGAACUGGCUAGGGGACAAUGUCAGGCGGGCAGUUUGACUGGGGCGGUCGCCUCCAAAAGAGUAACGGAGGCGCGCAAAGGUUUCCUCAGCGCGGACAGAAAUCGCGCAAGAGAGUGCAAAGGCAGAAGGAAGCUUAACUGAGAGACUGACAAGUCGACCAGAUACGAAAGUAGGUCUUAGUGAUCCGGCGGUAGUGAGUGGAAAUGCCGUCGCUCAACGGACAAAAGUUACCCUGGGGAUAACAGGCUUAUCUCCCCCAAGAGUUCACAUCGACGGGGAGGUUUGGCACCUCGAUGUCGGCUCAUCACAUCCUGGAGCGGAAGUACGUUCCAAGGGUUGGGCUGUUCGCCCAUUAAAGUGGUACGCGAGCUGGGUUCAGAACGUCGUGAGACAGUUCGGUCCUUAUCUGUCGCAGGCGCAGGAUAUUUGAGGGGAGUUGACCUUAGUACGAGAGGACCAGGUUGAACUUACCAAUGGUGUAUCAGUUGUCAUACCAAUGGCACGGCUGAGUAGCUAAGUAGGGAAGGGAUAAACGCUGAAAGCAUCUAAGUGUGAAGCCCACCCCAAGAUAAGAUAUCCCAUACCGUAAGGUAGUAAGAUUCCACAAAGACUAUGUGGAGAUAGGUUGGAGGUGUAAGUGCAGUAAUGCAUGUAGCUGACCAAUACUAAUAAAUCGAGGGCUUAACC